UAGUAUUUCACUGGGUGACUUUCUCUUUUAAUGGAGUCAUUUUCCAUUAGGGAACCUACUUUUACUCAAGUAGUAUUUCACUGGGUGACUUUUACUGGAGUAAUUUUCUAUUGGGGAACCUACUUUUACUCAAGACAAUUGAGUACUUUUUCCACCACUGGGAAUUUGUCCAGUAAAGCAGCUGGUUAACACCAUUACAUCCAUGUAGGGUAAUAUAAACAAGAUGGAGAAAACUAAAUUGUGUGUUUAGAAAAGAGGGAAAUAAAUAAUGAUGAUGGAACUCUUUGAAAUAGAUAUUAGAUUUAUGUAGCAGUCAGUCAUGUUAGAUAAAAAACAUUUUGGCACAGUUGCUCAACAAAUGGGUAAGCUGCUAUGUCUACUAGAUAAAUAUUCUUAAAACCAUCAUUUACUUCCAAAUAAAUACACAGACAGAAUCAGGCGCCAGAGAUUUCCCAGGUCAGGUAAACCUCAUGGCCUUAUACAGUGCCAUUCGGAAAGUAUUCAGACCCCUUGACUUUUCCCCACAUUUUGUUACAUUACAGCCUUAUUCUAAAAGGGAUUAAAUAAAUGUUUUUCCUCAGCAAUCUACACACAAUACCCAAUAAUGGCAAAGUGAAAACAGGUUGUUAGAUAUUUACAAAUAAAAAAUAAAAUACAAACAGAAAUACCUUAUUUACAUAAGUAUUCAGACCCUUUGCUAUGAGACUCAAAAUUGAGCUCAGGUGCAUCCUGUUUCUUUUGAUCAUCCUUGAGAUGUUUCUACAACUUGAUUGGAGUCCACCUGUUGUCACGCCCUGGUCUAAGUAUUUUGUGUUUUUCUUCAUGUAUUGGGUCAGGCCAGGGUUUGGCAUGGGGUUUUUGUAUUGUGGUGUGUUUUGUCUUGGGGUUUUGGUGUGUAUGUAUUGGGAUUGUAGCUAGUGGGGUUAUCUAGCAAGGUCUAUGGCUGUCUGGAGUGGUUCUCAAUCAGAGGCAGGUGUUUAUCAUUGUCUCUGAUUGGGAACCAUAUUUAGGCAGCCAUAUUCUUUGAGUUUGUGGUGGGUGAUUGUCCUUAGUGUCCUGAUGUCCUUGUUCUGUGUUAGUUUACACAAGUAUAGGCUGUUUCGGUUUUCGUUACGUUUAUUGUUUUGUAGUGUUUGUGUUUAGUGUGUUUGUCAUUAAACAUGAAUCGUAAUCUACACGCUGCAGUUUGGUCCAACUCUCCUUCACACCUAGAAAACCGUAACAGAAUCACCCACCACCAACGGACCAAGCGGCGUGUCAACAGGCAGGAGCCACAGGAGAAGCAACAAAGGCAGCAACAGCGGCGCAAUGAGGAUUGGACAUGGGAUGAUAUAUUGGAUGGCAAGGGUUGCUACACAUGGGAGGAGAUCCUGGCGGGAAGGGAUCGCCUUCCAUGGGAACAGGUGGAGGCACUUAGGAGAGCAGAGGCAGCCGGAGAGAGGAGCCGGCGAUACGAGGGAACACGGUUGGCAAGGAAGCCCGGGAGUCAGCCCCAAAAAUUUAUUGGGGGGGGCUCACAGGGAGUAUGGCUACGCCAGGUAGGAGACCUGCGCAAACUCCCUGUGCUUACCGGGGGGCUAGAGAGACCGGGCAGGCACCGUGUUAUGCAGUGGUGCGCAUGGUGUCCCCAGUGCGGGUGCAUAGCCCGGUGCGGUAUAUUCCAGCUCCGCGUAUCGGCCGGGCUAGAUUGAGCGUCGAGCCAAAUGCCAUGAAGCCGGCUCUACGCAUCUGGUCCCCAGUGAGUCUCCUUGGGCCGGCUUACAUGGCACCAGCCUUGCGCACGGUGUCCCCGGUUCGCCUGCAUAGCCCAGUGCGGGCUAUUCCACCUCGCCGCACUGGCAGGGCGACCAAGAGCAUUCAACCAGGUAAGGUUGGGCAGGCUCGGUGCUCAAGAGCUCCAGUGCGCCUGCACGGUCCGGUCUAUCCAGUACCACCUCCACACCCCAGCCCUCCGGUAGCAGCUCCCCGCACCAGGCUUCCUGUGCGUGUCCUCGGUCCAGUACCACCAGUACCAGCACCACGCAUCAGGCCUACAGUGCGCCUCGCCUCUCCUGCGCUGUCGGAGUCUCCCGCCUCUCCAGCGCUGUCAGAGC
ensembl:lncRNA